rnacentral:lncRNA from 1 species
AUGCUAUGCAAUGCUAUUGACUUCCAUUUAGAAGCUGGCUCAGAGCCCGGUAUAGUCCAGCAGAAUUGUAAAGUAGGCUCUUAUUCCCUCUUCAGUUGUCUCUAUUCAUACUUUUCAAAUCUGGCAGGUAUUCUUAUAACAGUCUUCAGGCCUGCGGGAAAAAAAAAAAAAAAAAGUGACCCUCUUGUACUAAUCCCUUACUCAGAAGUUGCUUGUGAUUCUCAUCAUUGUAAUGUAAGACAUUUGGGACAUAAAUUCCUGUUGGAAUUCCAGUUACUCAAAAUACCUUGCGUAAUAAAUUAUGCUUGUUUGGUGACAUAUGGAAUUAUGCACCUAAGAACAAGGAAUUAUAGAAAAAGAACUAAAUGUCCUGUUGUUUCCUACCUUCACCAUUUUCACUUGUUCCUUUAUUCCAAAUAUAGCUUUGCCAUGCUCUGUUCCUGUCUUUCUGAGUGGAGUAUUAUUUUCUGGACCCCCUGUUUUCAGUCUUUCUCUUGGAAGGAGAUUUACCAGGAAACAGCAGGCAGUGGGUCUCCUGUGCACUAUUUUAAGAGGGGUGUUACUGGAAUCAAUGGGACUCCUCUUCUUAGAGGUUAUGACCAGGAAGCUGUCACGCCGCUGACACCUUCACCUUCCACCCAACCUCUGCAUACUGGCAACCAAGGGAAGCUUUCCUGUUGUUAAAUGUUACUAUAAAGGAGGAAUUCUGAGUUCUCUGCAAUGGCAUGGGAUUGAUUCGGUGAUUACAUUAUUUGCCAUAAUGUAGAGAGUCUUGCAGAGUUCUCUGAGGUUCUUGUCAGUAUGACCUGGGCAAAAUCCACCCUUUGGAUUUGGGGUUUACUCACGGCUGUGACUUCAAACAUGUGAGCAAGGCCGUCCAACAAACAAGGUGCUUCUCCACCUCAGAGCACACUGCUGCUCAGCUCCAGUCACGGUAGUUUCUGAAGAUGGAGAACAUAACAACCAAGAUCGCCAGUCUCUUGCUAGCUAACAGAUGGUGAAAGGAAAAUGCCCUCUUGAUUGCUGCCGGCAAUUAGCUAAAGCUGCGAAGCACAGGAUUUGCCCUAAUCCUUGCCUUGCAGCAAGACUGUGUGUGAUCAGCGCCUUGAGGGGAGCGCAGACAAAGCUCUUCCCUCCUGAAGCCAGAGGAGGAGCAGAAAGCAUUCAAAUCCCUGCACAUAUAAGCACAGGCUUUUAAUUCAGAAUCUCCUUCAAAGCAUAGAUAAUAUGCGUUUUAAAGCCUCUAUGUGAGAACUAAAAUGUCACCUCUUCUGAUAAAAUUGCAUAGACGGAGCUUGAAAAUUAAAUCUCUCAUAGAGUUUGGAUUCAUUCAUCCAGUCACUGGAUGGUGCUGGAUCUUGGUGCUGCUAUAACCACUGUAUGAGAACUGGCACACAGCAAUGAAGCGAGUUCUCAGCCUUCUGAGUGGAGAGCUCCAUUUCCUGAAAGUCACAUUCAAAGCAUUUUGGGUUCAUUAGCACCGGAAGCUUCGUAUGCUUAUUUUGCAAUUAUUUCACUCCUUUGUACGUCAUAGCAUUGUACCAAAAUUGAUGUGACGAUACUUCAGUUUCUAUGAGACUAUGCUGUUCUAAUUUUCUUCCUUCUUUUUUUUAAUUCUUAUUACUGAAAACCAAAAAGCCCUUCUUCUAUUUUAGUUCAUGGUCAUUUUGCUAAAAAAGUGAAUUUUCUUUAAAGUGAGUGUCUACAAUAAAAAGUUUGAAGUGUCUUAUUCGGUUGCA